rnacentral:rRNA from 1 species
GACGAACGCUGGCGGCGUGCUUACACAUGCAAGUCGAACGGAAAGGCCCUGCUUUUGUGGGGUGCUCGAGUGGCGAACGGGUGAGUAACACGUGAGUAACCUGCCCUUGACUUUGGGAUAACUUCAGGAAACUGGGGCUAAUACCGGAUAGGAGCUCCUGCUGCAUGGUGGGGGUUGGAAAGUUUCGGCGGUUGGGGAUGGACUCGCGGCUUAUCAGCUUGUUGGUGGGGUAGUGGCUUACCAAGGCUUUGACGGGUAGCCGGCCUGAGAGGGUGACCGGCCACAUUGGGACUGAGAUACGGCCCAGACUCCUACGGGAGGCAGCUGUGGGGAAUAUUGCACAAUGGGCGGAAGCCUGAUGCAGCAACGCCGCGUGCGGGAUGACGGCCUUCGGGUUGUAAACCGCUUUCGCCUGUGACGAAGCGUGAGUGACGGUAAUGGGUAAAGAAGCACCGGCUAACUACGUGCCAGCAGCCGCGGUGAUACGUAGGGUGCGAGCGUUGUCCGGAUUUAUUGGGCGUAAAGGGCUCGUAGGUGGUUGAUCGCGUCGGAAGUGUAAUCUUGGGGCUUAACCCUGAGCGUGCUUUCGAUACGGGUUGACUUGAGGAAGGUAGGGGAGAAUGGAAUUCCUGGUGGAGCGGUGGAAUGCGCAGAUAUCAGGAGGAACACCAGUGGCGAAGGCGGUUCUCUGGGCCUUUCCUGACGCUGAGGAGCGAAAGCGUGGGGAGCGAACAGGCUUAGAUACCCUGGUAGUCCACGCUGUAAACGGUGGGUACUAGGUGUGGGGUCCAUUCCACGGGUUCCGUGCCGUAGCUAACGCUUUAAGUACCCCGCCUGGGGAGUACGGCCGCAAGGCUAAAACUCAAAGGAAUUGACGGGGCCCCGCACAAGCGGCGGAGCAUGCGGAUUAGUUCGAUGCAACGCGUAGAACCUUACCUGGGUUUGACAUGGAUCGGGAGUGCUCAGAGAUGGGUGUGCCUCUUUUGGGGUCGGUUCACAGGUGGUGCAUGCCUGUCGUCAGCUCGUGUCGUGAGAUGUUGGGUUAAGUCCCGCAACGAGCGCAACCCUUGUUCACUGUUGCCAGCACGUUAUGGUGGGGACUCAGUGGAGACCGCCGGGGUCAACUCGGAGGAAGGUGGGGAUGACGUCAAGUCAUCAUGCCCCUUAUGUCCAGGGCUUCACGCAUGCUACAAUGGCUGGUACAGAGAGUGGCGAGCCUGUGAGGGUGAGCGAAUCUCGGAAAGCCGGUCUCAGUUCGGAUUGGGGUCUGCAACUCGACCUCAUGAAGUCGGAGUCGCUAGUAAUCGCAAAUCAGCAACGCUGCCGGUGAAUACGUUCCCGGGGCC